CUCCAAUGAUCCCAGUGCAGCCAUGGACCCCUGUGCCAAAUAACCUACAGCUGCUCUUCCCCGCUGCAAAGCCCACGCUUUCCCUUGCCUCUCCCAUCUCCCGGGGGCACACAGAAGGCGAAGUCGUUCGCAAUGAAUCCAUGGCAGCUUCGAUCGAGCGGUGAGCUGGAGCCCCUACUCACAGGCCACUCCUUCAUGUGACUGAACAGAGACCUUUCCCAGCACUCACCAAGGAGAGCAGAGCCCUGGAUUUACCUCCCGCGCAGCCGGCACCCCCAGCGCAGGCACUGCGAGACAGAGAAGGCAAGGAGCAAAUGAAGUGGUCUCGGGCUGAAGUGCUCGCCCAUCAGGCGUUUGAAUGGCUGUUUGUCGCUGCAGACUGCGUGGCUCGAGGCAGAGAUUCCAGUGACAGAUGGAUCUCUCUCGUGCGCACUUGCUCUUUCCUUCUCUGUAUUUUUGUUUUCGACAUGUUUGAUCCAAAGCUCUGAAGCUUCUCAGAGGGAACCCAGGAAAGAAGGAAGGGAAGGAGUAGAAACCAAGGGAGCGUGAGCGACACAGGAGGCAGCCCUGCCUUGUUCUUCCAAAUCACACUGUGGAGGGGCGGGGGAAGACUAGAGGGGGAGGACUUGG
rnacentral:lncRNA from 1 species